rnacentral:rRNA from 1 species
GACGAACGCUGGCGGCGUGCUUAACACAUGCAAGUCGAACGGAAAGGCCCUGCUUUUGUGGGGUGCUCGAGUGGCGAACGGGUGAGUAACACGUGAGUAACCUGCCCUUGACUUUGGGAUAACUUCAGGAAACUGGGGCUAAUACCGGAUAGGAGCUCCUGCUGCAUGGUGGGGGUUGGAAAGUUUCGGCGGUUGGGGAUGGACUCGCGGCUUAUCAGCUUGUUGGUGGGGUAGUGGCUUACCAAGGCUUUGACGGGUAGCCGGCCUGAGAGGGUGGCCGGCCACAUUGGGACUGAGAUACGGCCCAGACUCCUACGGGAGGCAGCAGUGGGGAAUAUUGCACAAUGGGCGGAAGCCUGAUGCAGCAACGCCGCGUGCGGGAUGACGGCCUUCGGGUUGUAAACCGCUUUCGCCUGUGACGAAGCGUGAGUGACGGUAAUGGGUAAAGAAGCACCGGCUAACUACGUGCCAGCAGCCGCGGUGAUACGUAGGGUGCGAGCGUUGUCCGGAUUUAUUGGGCGUAAAGGGCUCGUAGGUGGUUGAUCGCGUCGGAAGUGUAAUCUUGGGGCUUAACCCUGAGCGUGCUUUCGAUACGGGUUGACUUGAGGAAGGUAGGGGAGAAUGGAAUUCCUGGUGGAGCGGUGGAAUGCGCAGAUAUCAGGAGGAACACCAGUGGCGAAGGCGGUUCUCUGGGCCUUUCCUGACGCUGAGGAGCGAAAGCGUGGGGAGCGAACAGGCUUAGAUACCCUGGUAGUCCACGCUGUAAACGGUGGGUACUAGGUGUGGGGUCCAUUCCACGGGUUCCGUGCCGUAGCUAACGCUUUAAGUACCCCGCCUGGGGAGUACGGCCGCAAGGCUAAAACUCAAAGGAAUUGACGGGGCCCCGCACAAGCGGCGGAGCAUGCGGAUUAAUUCGAUGCAACGCGUAGAACCUUACCUGGGUUUGACAUGGAUCGGGAGUGCUCAGAGAUGGGUGUGCCUCUUUUGGGGUCGGUUCACAGGUGGUGCAUGGCUGUCGUCAGCUCGUGUCGUGAGAUGUUGGGUUAAGUCCCGCAACGAGCGCAACCCUUGUUCACUGUUGCCAGCACGUUAUGGUGGGGACUCAGUGGAGACCGCCGGGGUCAACUCGGAGGAAGGUGGGGAUGACGUCAAGUCAUCAUGCCCCUUAUGUCCAGGGCUUCACGCACGCUACAAUGGCUGGUACAGAGAGUGGCGAGCCUGUGAGGGUGAGCGAAUCUCGGAAAGCCGGUCUCAGUUCGGAUUGGGGUCUGCAACUCGACCUCAUGAAGUCGGAGUCGCUAGUAAUCGCAGAUCAGCAACGCUGCGGUGAAUACGUUCCCGGGGCU